CGGUCUGAGUUGUAAGUUCCCGGGCAGGCCAGUCGUACGAUCGUACGUCUUACUCCGUCUCGAACGGUGAGAAUCGGCCUCCGGGGCGCCAGGCCG
rnacentral:sRNA from 1 species